GGAUUGGCGUUUUUCUGUUGAUACAUUAGUUAAUUAUGCUAAGAUCAAUUAAGUUAUUAUUGUUUUUUGGAAUGUGUAUAAUGUAUGCCAUUAUUGAUAUUGUUGUUAUAAAUGUGCAUUCAAGUUUUUGUAACAAUCAAUACAGCUUGAUUGACUAGAAUCAUUUGUAUGUAAUUACUGGCUAAGUAUACAAAUUGCAUCAUUCAACUUGGGUUUAGUAGUUUUACUUGCAAUUAGUUUUGUAGUAACAUUCCUUUGUUAUUAGCAAGUUUUGAUUGAAUUUUAUACAAAUUUUUUAAAUUAAAACCAAUGUUUGAAUUUUGAUGCGACUGCAUAUACCACAAUAAUAUGUUGCUAAAAUUUAUGACGUCAUAAUUUAAUUGACAUGUUUUAGUUUUUACUAUUUUAAAUGCUAUAUGUGUGUGUGUGUGUGUGU
rnacentral:misc_RNA from 1 species